CCUUUCUCUUCAGUCAGGUUGUUGUAUCUGGUCUGUAGCUGGUCUCUCUCUUCAGUCAGGUUGUUGUAUCUGGUCUGUAACUGGUCUCUCUCAUCAGUCAGGUUGUUGUAUUUGGUCUGUAACUGGUCUCUCUCUUCAGUCAGGUUGUUGUAUUUGGUCUGUAACUGGUCUCUCUCUGCAGUUGUGUUAGUCUUAUAAAGGGAACAACUCUGUGACAAGAUGUUCCUUUUAUCCUCAGAAUAUUUGAUGGCUCUGUUAUCUACAA